AUGAUUGUGUUUUUGUUAUUACAGCUCCUUCAAAUUUCCCAGAAUCGUCACCUCUUGGAGCAUGUUUCUUCUCAGAGUAUUCCUGGAAUUCUCUAUUUAUGCUACUGUCGUGUUGCGCAAGGAAAAAGGAGAGAAACAAGAAACAACCAUGAGCUUUUACUCAGUUCCGGCAACCGUAGCUUCUGCCCUAAUACUCAAGAAGGAAAAGGGACAGAGAUGGCUUCAGUUUGACUCUGCAUGCCAUACUUCCCCGUGGAAGAUGUGCAGUCCGGGUGAAACUCAUCCCUGACCCAUUUGGCAGUUCGACAGCAAGUGAACGCAUUGGCCUUUGGCAUUCCUCUCUAUGCAUCCAUCUGAUUCCCUCAUGGGGAUGCUUGACCUGCACAUAUGAGGACAACGACGUCUCAGACCAGAGUGAUCAAAACCACUGCCUUGUGGAAGCCUGCCAGAAAAUAACCAACUAAUGGACCUUGUGAUUCAAAGCAGAGUACUCUUCUCUCCAUCCAAAAAUAGAAGAGGAAAAAACAGCAAUUCCUCAGAGUGGCAGAUCCAGUGAACAGAAGCCUCAGGAAACUACUAGCAGCAUCUGCCAAGAGUCCUGCUUGCCUCUCACCUUGUGA